rnacentral:rRNA from 1 species
UACGUAGGGUGCAAGCGUUGUCCGGAAUUAUUGGGCGUAAAGAGCUCGUAGGCGGUCUGUCGCGUCGGCUGUGAAAACCCGGGGCUCAACCCCGGGCCUGCAGUCGAUACGGGCAGACUAGAGUGUGGUAGGGGAGACUGGAAUUCCUGGUGUAGCGGUGAAAUGCGCAGAUAUCAGGAGGAACACCGGUGGCGAAGGCGGGUCUCUGGGCCAUAACUGACGCUGAGGAGCGAAAAGCGUGGGGGAGCGAACAGG